UGAAGUUAAAGNCAUUGGCUCAACCAAUGUAUGCUUUGGAAACUGUUAGACUUGAGUGCAGAAGGGGAGAGUGGAAUUCCAUGUGUAGCGGUGAAAUGCGUAGAUAUAUGGAGGAACACCGGUGGCGAAAGCGGCUCUCUGGUCUGUCACUGACGCUGAGGCUCGAAAGCGUGGGUAGCGAACAGGAUUAGAUACCCUGGUAGUCCACGCCGUAAACGAUGAGUGCUAGGUGUUAGGUCCCUUCCGGGACUUAGUGCCGCAGCUAACGCAAUAAGCACUCCGCCUGGGGAGUACGACCGCAAGGUUGAAACUCAAAGGAAUUGACGGGGGCCCGCACAAGCGGUGGAGCAUGUGGUUUAAUUCGAAGCAACGCGAAGAACCUUACCAGGUCUUGACAUCCCGAUGCCCGCUCUAGAGAUAGAGUUUUUCUUCGGAACAUCGGAGACAGGUGGUGCAUGGUUGUCGUCAGCUCGUGUCGUGAGAUGUUGGGUUAAGUCCCGCAACGAGCGCAACCCUUAUUGUUAGUUGCCAUCAUUGAGUUGGGCACUCUAGCGAGACUGCCGGUAAUAAACCGGAGGAAGGUGGGGAUGACGUCAAAUCAUCAUGCCCCUUAUGACCUGGGCUACACACGUGCUACAAUGGUUGGUACAACGAGUCGAAAGCCGGUGACGGCAAGCUAAUCUCUGAAAGCCAAUCUCAGUUCGGAUUGUAGGCUGCAACUCGCCUACAUGAAGUCGGAAUCGCUAGUAAUCGCGGAUCAGCACGCCGCGGUGAAUACGUUCCCGGGCCUUGUACACACCGCCCGUCACACCACGAGAGUUUGUAACACCCAAAGUCGGUGAGGUAACCAUAUAGGAGCCA
rnacentral:rRNA from 1 species